rnacentral:rRNA from 1 species
UACGUAGGGUGCAAGCGUUGUCCGGAAUUACUGGGCGUAAAGCGUGCGUAGGUGGUUUGUUAAGUCUGCUGUGAAAGCCCCGGGCUCAACCUGGGAAUGGCAGUGGAUACUGGCAAGCUAGAGUGCGGUAGAGGGGUGUGGAAUUCCCGGUGUAGCGGUGAAAUGCGUAGAGAUCGGGAGGAACACCAGUGGCGAAGGCGGCACCCUGGACCAGCACUGACACUGAGGCA